rnacentral:rRNA from 1 species
AUUGAACGCUGGCGGCAUGCCUUACACAUGCAAGUCGAACGGCAGCGGACCUUCGGGUGCCGGCGAGUGGCGAACGGGUGAGUAAUAUAUCGGAACGUACCUUUCAGUGGGGGAUAACGUAGCGAAAGUUACGCUAAUACCGCAUAUUCUGUGAGCAGGAAAGCAGGGGAUCGCAAGACCUUGCGCUGAUUGAGCGGCCGAUAUCAGAUUAGCUAGUUGGUGAGGUAAAGGCUCACCAAGGCGACGAUCUGUAGCGGGUCUGAGAGGAUGAUCCGCCACACUGGAGCUGAGACACGGUCCAGACUCCUACGGGAGGCAGCAGUGGGGAAUUUUGGACAAUGGGCGCAAGCCUGAUCUAGCCAUGCCGCGUGAGUGAAGAAGGCCUCGGUUGUAAGAC